CCUACGGGAGGCAGCAGUGGGGAAUAUUUCACAAUGGGGGAAACCCUGAUGCAGCGACGCCGCGUGCGUGAAGAAGUAUUUCGGUAUGUAAAGCUCUAUCAGCAGGGAAGAAAUAGCGACCUUUGGGUCGCCAGACGGUACCUGACUAAGUAGCCCCGGCUAAAUACGUGCCAGCAGCCGCGGUAAUACGUAGGGGGCAAGCGUUACCCGGAUUUACUGGGUGGAAAGGGAGCGUAGACGGCAGAACAAGUCGGAGGUGAAAUGGCGGGGCUAAACCCCGGAACUGCUUUGGAAACUGUGCAGCUAGAGUGCAGUAGAGGUAAGUGGAAUUCCUAGUGUAGGGGUGAAAUGCGUAGAUAUUAGGAGGAACACCAGUGGCGAAGGCGGCUUACUGGAAUGUAACUGACGUUGAGGCUCGAAAGCGUAGGGAGCAAACAGGAUUAGAUACCCCAGUAGUC
rnacentral:rRNA from 1 species